rnacentral:lncRNA from 1 species
CUGCGUGAGUGAGGAAAGUGUAUAGAACGUAUUCGAAGUUAAGAGCAUCCUAUCAAGGUCCAGUGGCCCCCUAAAUGACUUGGGAGCCAUUGCCAUGUUCAUCAUAACCUUUUCCACUGAAAAGACCUCUUCAAUUGUGCUUUGUGAGAGAACUAGUGACCAGAAACAUAGAGGGAACGUCACUGGCUUCUAUUUGAUACCUUCAUCUUUCCUUAAAGAGAAAAAAAACUUAUAUUUUGAGUAGAUAAAACAGAAUACCUAAACACAAACUUUUAUUCAUUAAUAUUGUACAGAAAUCACAUUCACUUUCAGAUAGAGUGUGGUUAAACUCAUUUUUUGACAGAUUCACUUUGAGCAAGCCUUCAGAGUCUCAGACAGUGAGGAGCAGAGAGAACGGGAGAGGGCUUUAGACAAGAGGAGCUGGCCUUCCUCUCAUUUCACACACUCAGUAGUAAGAGGUGGGCUUGAGAGUUCUUAAAACUGCCAGCCCUCCCUUCCCUCCUCCUCUUCCCAUCCCUCCACCUCCCCAGCCCCAGUCAAAUAUGAACAACCCAGCCUUUGUCAGGGCCACAUGGACCCGAUGUGGGAGCAAACAGCAUGCCCUUUGAACUCUCAGAAUCCAAUAUUAAACGGUGUGUGUGCUACAGUAUUGAUUUCUCUUUAGUUCAGAAAUUUCAGUUAAGACUAGUUUUUACAAUUAAGUCUGUAACCCAAAAAUACCUACCCUAAAGGAAUCUUCACCACCUGCAAGAAACAUGUCUUAUUCGCUAAAUGAGAACACCAAGAGAAAUUCCAGUACAGCAGUGAUUUUUCCGAGGUGGUCCUCAGGCCAGGCAUCAUCACCACCACCUGGAAUUUACUAGAAAAUGAAAUGUUCAUGUUGGGGCCCCGUCCCAUAUCCACUGAAUCAGAAACUCUAGAAAUGGGGCCUGGUGCAGUCACUUGCAAACUUCAAGUGUUUAAAAGACCUGAAUCUCACAAUAGUCUCUAUAAUCAUGAAACAUUAAGAACUAAACGAAUGUUAAUGCCAUAAAACUGGG